UACGAAGGGGGCUAGCGUUGUUCGGAAUUACUGGGCGUAAAGCGCACGUAGGCGGGCCGUUAAGUCAGGGGUGAAAUCCCGGAGCUCAACUCCGGAACUGCCUUUGAUACUGGCGAUCUAGAGAUCGAGAGAGGUGAGUGGAAUUCCGAGUGUAGAGGUGAAAUUCGUAGAUAUUCGGAAGAACACCAGUGGCGAAGGCUGCUCACUGGCUCGAUACUGACGCUGAGGUGCGAAAGCGUGGGGAGCAAACAGG
rnacentral:rRNA from 1 species